rnacentral:misc_RNA from 1 species
UGCAACAAAUAAACCAGCAGCAAACUAGUAAACAAAUGGUAAAUCAGCAAAUAAACAAGCAAUAAAUGGCAACAAAUAAACCAGCAGAAAAUAAACCUAAUUGAAAAAGAAAAAGGAGGAAAGGAAGAAGGAAAGAAAAAACCGGGUUCCAGUAGAGUGCAGAGGUGAGUGCUGGCAGGGGAGAAAGGGAAGAAGGAAAAAGAGAAG